rnacentral:rRNA from 1 species
AUUGAACGCUGGCGGCAGGCCUAACACAUGCAAGUCGAGCGCGCGGCGGACGGGUGAGUAAUGUCUGGGAAACUGCCUGCUGGAGGGGGAUAACUACAGGAAACGGUAGCUAAUACCGCAUACCAUCAGAUGUGCCCAGAUGGGAUUGGCUAGUAGGUGGGGGAACGGCUCACCUAGGCGACGAUCCCUAGCUGGUUUGAGAGGAGGACCAGCCACACUGGGACUGAGACACGGUCCAGACUCCUACGGGAGGCAGCAGUGGGGAAUAUUGGACAAUGGGCGAAAGCCUGAUGCAGCCAUGCCGCGUGUAUGAAGAAGGCCUUCGGGUUGUAAAGCACUUUCAGCGGGGAGGCGUUACCCGCAGAAGAAGCACCGGCUAACUCCGUGCCAGCAGCCGCGGUAAUUC